UAAGAAUACGAAGAUUAGGUGAAACAGG
rnacentral:sRNA from 1 species